rnacentral:rRNA from 1 species
GUCCACGCCCUAAACGAUGCUUACUCGACGUUCCUUCGAUAGAGGGUGCGUCCAAGUGAAACGCUAAGUAAGCCACCUGGGAGUACGCCGGCAACGGUGAAACUCAAAGGAAUUGACGGGUCCGCACAAGCGGUGGAGCAUGUGGUUUAAUUCGAUGGUACGCGAGGAACCUUACCUGGGCUCGAAUGGCUGGUGACCGCCGGUGAAAGCCGGUUUUCCCGCAAGGGACACUAGUCAAGGUGCUGCAUGGCUGUCGU